ensembl:lncRNA
GGAAUAUCAUUAUUUACAGGGUGAUCUUAGCCGGUGAGCUAAAUGAGGGUUUGAUGUUUUGCGCCAACAUCCAUCUACUGAGAUAAUUGCUGCUCUCGUGCAGGAUGUUGUGAUAUCACUGCGGGCUGAAAAAAAAUAAAGACCGACGGUCUUCUAGGAACAUCAGAGGACCUGGGCCGUGCUGCUCCUCUGACCCCCUGUGCAACUUUACCGAAGGACAUCCUGAAGACAAACAAUGGCAGAGAACAAAGUUAGUCAGCGGUUCCCAAGCUCCCGUCUGCCGUCACACUCAACACGAACUAUAAUGCCAGGAUGGACAUGACACUAUGCUGACAGCUGAGCAUGUUCUAGAGCGGCGCCCUGCGGCAGACUUCUGUGUUCGGAGACAUGAGCCAUCUGUUUCAGCCAAACUUCAAUAAAGAAUCCCAU